GAAAAUCAAGUUUCCUAUUAUGAAAUUAUAACACUACUUAAUAAACGUCC
rnacentral:sRNA from 1 species